UUGCUUCGGCAGUAGGUAUACUAAAACUGGAACGAUACAGAGAAGAUUAGCAUGGCCCUGGCUCAAGGAUGACAUGCAAAUUCGUGAAGUGUUCCAUUAAAAA